UACGUAGGGUGCGAGCGUUGUCCGGAAUUAUUGGGCGUAAAGAGCUCGUAGGCGGUUUGUCGCGUCGACUGUGAAAACCCGAGGCUUAACCUCGGGCCUGCAGUCGAUACGGGCAGACUAGAGUUCGGUAGGGGAGACUGGAAUUCCUGGUGUAACGGUGAAAUGACGCAGAUAUCAGGAAGAACACCCGUGGCUAAGGCGGUUCUCUAGUACGGUACUGACGCUGAGACGCGAAAGCGUGGGGAGCGAACAGG
rnacentral:rRNA from 1 species